AACUAAAAUUAACGGUAUUUAUUUGUAUUUUAAAAUGUAUUUAAUCAUUUGUUGGUUAUGAGGAUCGUCUGGUGAAUUAUAGUUGUAUUUGUGAUAAAGUUACGCAUCUCUUUUGUAUUAAAAAUAGCCAAUAUUUGUUAGUGAAAAAUUUCAGAUGUCGUCAAAUAUUUUUUCUGAGGUACUAUGGAAUCGAAAUUUAGGCGAUGAAGAAGAGAGGGGACCAGAAAUUUCCAAUAUUUUAAACGGUUUGUCGGUGCCACUGCCUAGCAAAGUAACAUGUUUGAUACCCAACUGCCAAGCCAACGAAGAAUAGUAGAGUCUGCGUUUACAAUACCAAAAAAAAGUUUGGAUGAAGGCUCUUUAAUUGGAUCAUAUGAAUUCCUCACGCUGAAAGAUCCCAGAGUGUGAAAAAACUAUUACACUGUUAAAUAAAUAUUAUGACA